rnacentral:lncRNA from 1 species
GAACUUUCCAGCAGCGAGAUAUUUCACAAGCUCGCUUGACUUCUCUGGGUACAACUGUGACAUCAAUUGGGAGCAGGCUGCUUACUGCUUCUAGCACAUUUUCAAAGCUACUUGAGUCUGAGGGCCGUGGAAUUCAUUCUUAUGCUUUUCAUGGCAAUUGCAUAAUGAGAGGCCUGACUGGCAGAGAGAGCCAGGGAAAUGGAGAUAAUUGAAGAGGGAGAAGACCUGAGGCCCCAGGCUCGCGAACAACUCCCACAGAGAAGGAACCACCUCUGCUCCCAUCUCACCCCAGCAGCCUUCCUGGGGUCUCCGUCCGGGGAUCUGCGUGGACCCCUCAUCAGGACUGGACCACUCGUAGAGCUUUUCUCUGGACACCUUUUCCUCCAAAUGCCUCCAGACUAUUCUUUGAUUUAUAAAGGACAAGAUCUUGGAUCCGUCAGACCUCAGCUGCGAGAGAGCAGAGUUUUGGUUCCCAAGCAAACAGUGUCACCAGACCCAGUGAGCCCGACCCAGUGAGCCAAGGCUGGACGAGACUGAAGCCGGGCGAACUUGGAGGCCUCUGCAGGGUUCCCAACACUGUUGUUCGCAGGGGGCUUCCUUGCCACCGAUGAGUCACCUGACAACUUCUUUAAAAAAUUAUGGGUAAAAUACAAAUAACAUAAACAUUUGGCAAUUUCACCAACUCUCAAGUGAACGUUGUGUUGCGUUAAAUACGUUCACAUUACUGGGCAGCCACACCACCAUCUGUUUCUAGAAAUCUAGAACUCAGAGUCCUGUGGCCCUAAUCUUUCCUCUUCCCUUGCCCCUGGCCAUCGUGACCUGU